rnacentral:rRNA from 1 species
UUAUACCGUGAAACUGCGAAUGGCUCAUUAAAUCAGUUAUCGUUUAUUUGAUAGUACCUUACUACUUGGAUAACCGUGGUAAUUCUAGAGCUAAUACAUGCUGAAAACCCUGACUUCGGAAAGGGUGUAUUUAUUAGAUAAAAAACCAAUGCCCUUUGGGCUCUUUGGUGAUUCAUGAUAACUUAACGGAUCGCAUGGCCUUGCGCCGGCGACGGUUCAUUCAAAUUUCUGCCCUAUCAACUUUCGAUGGUAAGGUAUUGGCUUACCAUGGUUUCAACGGGUAACGGGGAAUUAGGGUUCGAUUCCGGAGAGGGAGCCUGAGAAACGGCUACCACAUCCAAGGAAGGCAGCAGGCGCGCAAAUUACCCAAUCCCGACACGGGGAGGUAGUGACAAUAAAUACUGAUACAGGGCUCUUUUGGGUCUUGUAAUCGGAAUGAGUACAAUUUAAACCUCUUAACGAGGAACAAUUGGAGGGCAAGUCUGGUGCCAGCAGCCGCGGUAAUUCCAGCUCCAAUAGCGUAUAUUAAAGUUGUUGCAGUUAAAAAGCUCGUAGUUGAAUCUUGGGCCUGGCUGGCCGGUCCGCCUCACCGCGUGUACUGGUCUGGCCGGGCCUUUCCUUCUGGAGAACCUCAUGCCCUUCAGUGGGUGUGUUGGGGAACCAGGACUUUUACUUUGAAAAAAUUAGAGUGUUCAAAGCAGGCCUUUGCUCGAAUACGUUAGCAUGGAAUAAUAGAAUAGGACGUGCGGUCCUAUUUUGUUGGUUUCUAGGACCGCCGUAAUGAUUAAUAGGGAUAGUCGGGGGCAUCAGUAUUCAAUUGUCAGAGGUGAAAUUCUUGGAUUUAUUGAAGACUAACUACUGCGAAAGCAUUUGCCAAGGAUGUUUUCAUUAAUCAGUGAACGAAAGUUAGGGGAUCGAAGACGAUCAGAUACCGUCGUAGUCUUAACCGUAAACUAUGCCGACUAGGGAUCGGGCGAUGUUUCUAUCUUGACUCGCUCGGCACCUUACGAGAAAUCA